rnacentral:rRNA from 1 species
AUUGAACGCUGGCGGCAGGCCUAACACAUGCAAGUCGAACGAGUGGCGGACGGGUGAGUAAUGUCUGGGAAACUGCCCGAUGGAGGGGGAUAACUACUGGAAACGGUAGCUAAUACCGCAUACCAUCGGAUGUGCCCAGAUGGGAUUAGCUAGUAGGUGGGGUAACGUCUCACCUAGGCGACGAUGCCUAGCUGGUGUGAGAGGAUGACCAGCCACACUGGAACGGGGACACGGUCCAGACUCCUACGGGAGGCAGGGGGGGGGAGUAUUGCACAAGGGGCGGAAGCCUGAGGCAGCCAUGCCGGGUGUAUGAAGAAGGCCUUCGGGUUGUAAAGUACUUUCAGCGAGGAGGCGUUACUCGCAGAAGAAGCACCGGCUAACUCCGUGCCAGCAGCCGCGUAAUAC